CAGCCGCCGCGGUAAUACAGAGGGUGCGAGCGUUAAUCGGAUUUACUGGGCGUAAAGCGUGCGUAGGCGGCUUUUUAAGUCGGAUGUGAAAUCCCUGAGCUUAACUUAGGAAUUGCAUUCGAUACUGGGAAGCUAGAGUAUGGGAGAGGAUGGUAGAAUUCCAGGUGUAGCGGUGAAAUGCGUAGAGAUCUGGAGGAAUACCGAUGGCGAAGGCAGCCAUCUGGCCUAAUACUGACGCUGAGGUACGAAAGCAUGGUGAGCAAACAGGAUUAGAUACCCCAGUAGUCCCUGUCUCUUAUAC
rnacentral:rRNA from 1 species